AAGAUCAAUAAAGCAGAGAUAUAACAUUGAAAUUUACCCUGGAGAAAAAGUUGUCACAUAAUCAUUUAAUAAUAAGGAAACCAUGAUAUCAUAAAAUUCAAAGUCAUCUAGUUCAAGUCAUUGUUUUAUCAAGAUCAUAUUCAAACCACUCUAAAGAGACAUUAUUUUUACAAUAUCAAGAUCAAAUUAACAAUAUAAGACUAAUUUUAAAAUGGGUAAAUAAUAAACAAAUACGUAGCUUUUAAUCAUUAAGGACAUGUAAGUUGAACUGACAAAGAACCAUUUUUUGAUCAUUAAUUUGGCAAAAUUUAAAAAAGCAUCAGAUAUCAGCACAAGUCUGAGAAACUGAAUUAUCUCCUGUACUGCUGUCGGCAUGAAUAUUUACAUUUUAGAAAAACUAAUUUGAAAGGCUCCUAAGAAAAAAUUACAAACUGCUUAUCCUAACAACUUAUUCUAUAAAAUGUCUAUCUCUAGUGAAAAACUCAAGGGUUCAGCAAUUUUCUUUGCAAAUUGAUUAUAAUGGCAAUACAUGGCAACCAGGUAAAUCUAUCAAUGGGAAGGAAUAAAUUAACAGGAUAUAUUAACAGAAUACUAGAUAGCCACCAUAUGUACUUGGGAAAAUGCUUCCAGUUUACAUUUGUUAGGAGGAAAAAAAGGCACACUGAAGACUAAUAAUCACUUUUAUGAGAGAAGAGAACCCUCUUUGUGCAUCGAUUUGUAUAAACACAGAAAAAACCCCAUAAAAGUUAUAAAUAAAAGGCUAACAGAGACUACCUCUGGAGAGUGGAACAGGAAGAGGGAUAGCAGAAAGACGGUGUCUUUCAAUUUUACUUUAUAUAACUAUACAUUGUUUCUAUUUGUUAAAAUGAGUACAUUAUUACUUUCACAGUCAAAAAACUAAGUGUAGAUUUAAAAGUCCAAAAAUAUAUCUUAAUAAACUAUUUAAACUGUUAAAUUUUCAUUCUUGGUUCAUAAAGGUAUGAAAAUCAUCUUUAAACUCUGUCUGCAUGUCACCUAAAAGAUGUUUCUUAAAAACUAUUCUCCACCCAUAAUCUAGCAUUCUGAAUUAUUUUAUGUGUAUUUUAAAUAUGUGUAAAAACAAUGUCAGUUAAGGCACGGAGCCUACAAUAUGUAAAACCAGUCCUCACAAAUUCAUAAGUCAAACAGUAUUUAGUUUCCAUUCAAAAAAGUCUGACUUCAUCUUUUAAGUGUUGUGCUUUUGCUAGAUACUCUCUGUCCUGCCUUUCAAAUUAACCUUCUCUUAGGUUCUUUUUUUCUUUUUUAAAGCCAAAUUUAAAAAGUUUUGAUAACCCAAGACAGUCAAACCAGCUCUCAGCUAGGUUCUUGAAAAGUUUGGCCCACCACCAAGUUUUCACACCCUGGGGCAAUGCAACAUACUUACCUUAGGCUAGGUAAGAGAUAAGUCUUGUUCCUGAAAAGGGAAACAUUGAAGGAAAACCAUGCAGAAUACCCAUACUUUCCCAGGCAGACGGAUUUUAGGAAAGAAUGCAUCUAAAAGCUAAAGAUACAGAAACUGCCUGCAUCCUAACCCUGGAAAUUUAUGCUGGACUCCCAGAAAGCUCCAAUCUUAAGAUCAGUAGAGGAGGAGCUUUUACCCCUGCUGAAGUAUUAGGAACAAAACAGUAACUGAUGACCUUUACUCCCUGGAUCACCACAAGGGAGGAGUAAUAUCUGAUUGGUGAGUUUGAAAGAAGCAACUGAGCAUGUGUGACUCAGCUCAUUUGAGCCUUGCUUAUGUGUUUUCUCCAAGUGGACCCCAGUGAAGGAGGUAGAAGUGUGGUUGUUCUGUCUAGCUUUGACUUUGUGGAAGAGAGACUGGGUCUCACUACAUUGGCCGGGUCGGAUUUGAACUCCUGGGCUCAGCCUCCCGAGUAGCUGGGACUAUAAGCAUGUACCACCAUGCCCAGCUUACUGCAGCAGUUUUUAUAAACCAAAUUUUCCAAAAUAGAAAGACUGACCAAAGAAGCACUUUUAUACAAGGAAUAACUUACGUAUGGAGAAUCUCAACUCAGACCAGUCAAGACCAACUCCAGCGAUGAAGCCAGAAUGUAAUAUAACUCAGAAGGCUAAAGAAGUACAUUUUCCCAGAUGUAAAUUAUAACUAAAAAAUAGUGAACCAAACUCUAAUAUCCCAAUCUGAUAAUCUUUCAAAUAAAAAUAUGGGCUGUCGUUCAGGAAAAAA